rnacentral:rRNA from 1 species
GACGAACGCUGGCGGCAGGCUUAACACAUGCAAGUCGAACGAUGAAGCCGGAGCUUGCUCUGGUGAAUUAGUGGCGAACGGGUGAGUAACACGUGAGUAACCUGCCCUUGACUCUGGGAUAACUGCUAGAAAUGGUAGCUAAUACCGGAUACGACCCUCGGAGGCAUCGCCAGGGGGUGGAAAGAAUUUCGGUCAAGGAUGGACUCGCGGCCUAUCAGCUAGUUGGUGAGGUAACGGCUCACCAAGGCGACGACGGGUAGCCGGCCUGAGAGGGUGACCGGCCACACUGGGACUGAGACACGGCCCAGACUCCUACGGGAGGCAGCAGUGGGGAAUAUUGCACAAUGGGCGCAAGCCUGAUGCAGCAACGCCGCGUGAGGGAUGACGGCCUUCGGGUUGUAAACCUCUUUUAGUAGGGAAGAAGCGAAAGUGACGGUACCUGCAGAAAAAGCACCGGCUAACUACGUGCCAGCAGCCGCAGUAA